CGCAGAACUCUCUCGCGUGGCCGUGGGCGCUCGCCCGACGCGCCCCUGCCCGCAGCUCCGCACGGCGGCCGCGGCGAGAAGGGGAGCCCUUAGGCCUCCCCCCGCUCCGUGUCCGAGGGACUGAACCCACGCGUGGGUGCGUGGGAAGCACCAGCGUGAAGUGAGUGGCGUGAUGUGUACGCCGUGGGCUGGCUGGGGUGUGCAGGGAAGUCUGUGUGCAGCUCUGUGCGUAUUUCCAACGUAAACCAGAGGGACUAAAAUACCUGUCUGGGCUGCCCAGUGAGGCCGCUUCUGCCAGGGUAGUUCAAAAUCUAGUUUGCAUUUCUUCGAAGGAGCCCAGAACACAAAUAAAUAAAUAAAUAUAAUCCCUCUUUGCACUGUGAUACCGUAACGGAAAGGACAGCGAGGGCAAGCUUGUCAGUGUAGCGCAACAUCAGAGCAGCUGAGGAGCUCCCAACUCCGCUAGGCUCUGCUCUCGCUCACUCAGAACACUCGCUGCUGUUCCCCAGUUGCCCUUGGCACUUCAGAAGAGGACCGCUCGCGUUUGACGCCGGAGCUCUCCGUCCGGGAGAGAACAAUGUGCUCCCACCGCCUCUGGAGCUCUGCGGCUGCCCCCGCACACGCGGUGGCUCCGGCGCGGAGCGCCCCGCUCGGAAGGAGCCGCUCGGGCCAUUGUCUGAAGUGGGUUUCAGCCCAUGGAGAAAAGGGGGAAAAAAUCUCAGCAGCCCGGCUUGGUGUUGCACGGGGAAUGAGCUGACAAAAUAUUAUAGUAUGUUUCCUCGAAAUGCGUGCUGAGAGGAGAGAACUGUGGUGUGCUCCUGAGAGAGAGGUGGUGGUGUUCUUUUUCCUUCUUUCCUUCUUUCUUUCUUCUUCUUCUUCUUUCUUUCUUUCUUUCUCUUUCUUUCUUUCUUUCUUUCUUUCUCUCUUUCUUUCUUUCUUUCUUUCUUUCUUUCUUUCUUUCUUUCUUUCUUUCUUUCUUUCUUUCUUUCUUUCUUUCUUUCUUUCUUUCUUUCUUUCUUUCCCUCUUUCCCUCUUUCCCUCUUUCCCUCUUUCCCUCUUUCCCUCUUUCCCUCUUUCCCUCUUUCCCUCUUUCCCUCUUUCCCUCUUUCCCUCUUUCCUUCUUCUUUUCUUCUUAGAAGAUUGGGAUCGCCUUUGUAAGCCUUUCUUUUGAUCCCACAAAGAGAAUGCAAUAUGCAUAUAUGUAUUUGCUCUCCAUACAAACAACGCGAGAGACUGUACGACGGGAUAUACGGCCGGUUGGUCCUCAUAAUGCUUAGUUUUGCUGUAAUUAAUUGAAAACAGUUAUUAGGUCGUCAUUGGCAAUAGCGUAAAUAAUUGCAGCAGAUUUUUACUUAAAAUUGACCGGUCACGGAGUGAUAGAUCGAUUCGAGGUAUAAAAAUGAUGUAUCAAAACAUCAAUGUCGAUUAUUUGAAAUAUUGUAGUCGAAUCUUUUUAUUGCUUCAUCGGUUAAGUGUCUGAAAGUGCUGUGUUCCAACAUAUAUUUAUGUUGUCAAUACUGUCAAAACUGUCAGUUUUAUUACACCGGAUUUGUAAUACAUUUCGGAUUUGCUCAUUUACAUAAAAUGGCCACCCCGGGUACCCCCCCUUCUCCCCUCUCUGGAAAUCUCUGUCAAUGCUGAAAGGAUCCGGGACUCACAGCUGAGGCAAAAGAAGUAGAAGUAUGGCUCCAUUAAGUCCAAUUCGAACGUCCCUCUGGAAAGCUCGGGUUAUUUCUAACUUGCCAUCAGAGGGAAUCCUCCCACCCCUUUACCUCCCCAGUAAGAUUUAAACACUUUUCUUCUCUCACACCUCGCUUAAACCCUUUAGGAGCGCCGAGAACCUGCACGGAGAGAACGGCGAGCCGGAGCCCACCUGGGAGCCCGGAGCCCUCCGAGCAGAGCGGCCCCGACCCGCCCGCGUAGGGCCGGGUGCGGGCAGCAGCGGGGAACAAAGGGAGCGAUGACCGUAGGGGAUCCUUCCUUAGCGGGUCGGAGCCCGAAGGAACGCGGAGUGGGAGCAGAGGGGCGUUCCGCGCCCCCUGUCCCGCAGCCCCCAUGCAGCGGGGUCUGAACUGGUGGUUCUCUUUAGCCGUGAGCCCUGAGUUGGUGUUAGCCCGGUGCCAGGCACCCCUCGCUCACGCUCCCCCCGCGCCCAGCCGGGAAGCGGCCAAGCUCAGCAAUAAAUCAAUCCGCUGCCACAUCGCUCCCUUCGAUCGAGCAAACACUGCGAUCCAGCCCGGUCACUUCUCCUCCCACCCCACCCGCUCUGAGGCUGACGCUGCUUCACGGGCUGGGGAGACGGACCCGAGGUGCGGGGUGAGGGGGAGGGGGUGGUUUGUCUUUUUCUGUUUGUUUCUUUCUUGUCAUUUUUCUCCCCCCCCCCCCCCCCCCCUUUUUUUUUUUCUUUUUCCUUCUCCCCUUUCCCAGGGAGAUGUAUGCUUAAAGAGCCGCUGGAGCGAGCCCCGAGUUCCCGGGGGAGAAGGAAGGUUGGCCCGUGGAGAGGCAGCCGGCAGCAAAGCAGCCGGUACUUCUCCACGGCGUUUUCACGUCCGAAGAGUUUGCGGCGGGGUUUCCCGGCUCCCUGGGGAGGCUCCGAGGGAUGCAGCGGGCAGCGGAGAGCCGCGCCUCGGCGGGAGGCUUAGCGCAAGGGGACACGCUCAGGGAGCCGCGGUGACAUCCAGCAGCCCCUUGAGUUUCACAUGUUUUUCCAAUCGCUCAACCCCAAAUAUAUGGUGUCCCCCUCCCUCCCCCCUCCUCUUUCCUAGGAAUGCGCGUAAUAAAACCUAAUCGCCCGGGACUCUCCUCCUUUCUGCAUCUGCCGGACAAGAAACCGUGGGGGGACGAGGUCCUCCCGGCUCUGAAGCCGAGCUGCUAUGGGACGCCCGGCGGCCUCGGCCACGUCUGCACGUGGAAAACCUCGAAUGAGACUUUUGCGCUACAUUAACUGUCCCUCUGCCGUCCGGGGCUCCCUCUCCAGCAGCCGCCUUCUUCGUCUCCUGCAGCCAUCUCCGAAGCGGAGGUCGGGACGCUCACCCCAGGAGCGCAGCCCGGACCACGACAAAGUGGUCCAUGGUUCUUUGGUAUGUUGUUAUUCCCUGAAAGGUUGAGCAGGAUGAGUCACAGCAACACUGAGAGAAUGGAGGAUCCAGUUCUCACAGGACAGAAUGGUCCCACAGGAUCCAUGAAGGGGAAGAAGAGGGACAGUGUGCAGGCUAAGCAAUUUCUCAGACAUCAGCAGGUUUUUCACGUCAGAAUAAAAUAAUCUGGGUGUCUGCAGGUGCAGUGAAUUAGAUGGAAUAUUAUCCCUGCCUUGGAUUAAAGGGCAGAAACACUCUUAGUUCCAAACAACAAAUCCUAUAACUGAAAUGUAUGCCUAACCACCUCGCUGUGUUUACGUACUUCCACUCACCACAUUUUUCCCCAUCGAAGUUAGUUAAUAAAGUCAAAGAGUGAAACACAUCUGGGCUGUAUCACGACUGACUUUAAUGCUGAUAACUUAGGGAGGAAAUUGUGCUGUGGUGUGUGACUACAGAACGAACGUCCAAAGGUCCAACGUCCAAAGGUCCUACGUCCAAACAAAGACACUAAGACAUUGUAGAUGUGAGAUUGUAAACCUCACUGAUCAGAAGGGCUGCCAAUCAGCCCAUAGGUCUCACCUAGAGAGGAAACAAAAGUUCGGAGAAAAUCACCUCAAGGCAGUGAAUCUCUGCAGACAAUGUUUUCAAAACUGACAGCCUCCAGUAUCCUCAGGCCCAAGUUCCAUUGCCUGAAAACCACCUGAAUGGAGGAUGCAGGGCUCUGCAGGCUGAGUUUGAAAGAUGCCAACUGUCCCUGUGCACUCAGCCUUCCUGCUCCUCCUGAUGGAACAUGUGGAUAAGCACCAGCCUUGAAGUAAGCCCUCAGCACAGGAAGCAUCAAUUCUUUAAUUCAUACUUCAGGGAUUUGCAGCCAGGGUUUUCAUUUGACACAUCUAGAUAUUUCUCAUGUUAUAGUGGUACAUUCUUCCUCAAAGUGUUUUUCAAAAUCAGCAGGCUUUUCAGGGAUGAAACAUGAUUGUGCACUAAUAUAUUCCAUUUUUAAAGUAUGUGCUAAUUAUCAAAUCAGUCUUAUACUACUUCAUAUACAUUUAUAGACAAUCACUAAUAGUGUCAUUGAUCUGCAAAUAAAUAGAUUUAGCAGAAGCUUUCCUUUGAUGUAGAUAAAUGUAAACAACAAUGAAAAAAAAUAGCGUACAAGUGGUUGUCCUGUUCUCUUACCUUAAGGCUAUAUUACGAUCACAAUCAGACAUAUCUAGGCAUGUGUCACACCGGAUAAUGCUAUUUCUUGGGCGUUUGAGGGCAGAUGACUUUACCUUGGACUUCACAAAAGCUGAGACAUGCCAUUUAAAAGCAUGAAUCUGGCAUUACUGAAAACCCUCGCGUAUCAUACUCACGUAUAUCAUUGUUAACCUACAUAUGAGAUGUUUUUAAAAAUCGCUUCACAUUUAAUACUGAAGUCAUUUUACUUCUAUUAUUCAUGUGAAGAGCUAAAAAUAAACAUCCAAAAUAUUUUUCUCUUUUAUGGAACAGCUGAUAAAAGCCUUCAUUUGAAGUGAACUCUUGGAUGAAUGCAGCCUUAUUUUCUGGGCUCAGAUCUCUUGUACCCAGUUGGGAACCCCACAUCAGAUCUGGGAAGUACGUUGAAUCUUCAGAGGAAAGGGGCUCUAUACCUCAUAAUAUUCAUUAGGAAUAUCUUAGGCAAACAGUUUCCAGCCUAAAACUCACCCAUGAUGUGCUCAUUUGGGCUUUUUAUUUUGUUAUUCUCGAUGUGUCACUGGUCACCUAUUACACUUGGUCUACUUCCCAAUAGGUUGAAUGGAAUUAUUUUAACAAGAGACAACAAAUAAUAAAAGUGCAUAACCCAUUUGCCUGUCUGUGUAUGCAUGCUUUUUUUUGGUGCAGUUAUUCAUAGAAAGCCUGAUUCUGACUCCACUGCAUUUGAUAAAGCAGGAUUUGAUCCAUAAAGAAAAUAGAUUUACCUAACGCUUGUUAAGGGAAAAUCCUCCUUGCUUUAAUUUUCAGUUGUAUGGCCACAAACAUGAUCCGAACAAGACCCAUCUGAAACCCCUAGGGCUUCUUUGUGAGUAGAGUUGCAAUAGCAGCCCAGGAAAACAACCAGUUUUGUUGCUACAGGUUAAUUUCAGCUUUCAAACAUUAUUGGAAAUAAUCAAUCGCCUUUCUUCCCCUCCCCCAGCUGAACCUUGGAUUGCUUCCUCUGACAAAUGGCUCUGGGCACUGAAGUAAGAGCAUACUGUUUGAUUCAAAAGAAUUUUUUUUUUUUCUGUUGUUUCCAGACUUCAUUCACUGAAGAAGGUCCAGUCUGCACCCAAUACAUUCAUGGUAACUGUUCCCAAAAUAAACAUCAAGCAAGAUUCUUAGUAGUUGAGAGAGGCAAUUGUUCAAUUAUAUAAUCCCCCACAAAUGGGAAUAAAUCAAUAUAAAGAUCUAGGCCCCGCUUUCCUUGAGCAUCUAGCAG
ensembl:lncRNA